AUGAAUCAUUUUUCUAGUAAUAUAGGCUUUUGUUUAUUCUGUGCUCUGGGAGAAGUAGGGUUUUCCUCCAAGUCCAGGGAAGAGAGUUCAGUUCUGGAAUCAUCGAACAUGCAAAGCUCCAAUACAACAAGUCCUGCAGUCACACGCGUGUGUCCAUCAGUGUCCAUCUGUCUGUCUGCUGUCUGGAAGAUGAUGACUUCUGUCUUUCCCUGUGCGUCUAAUGGUUUCACAGAAAUGGAUAUUCCUCUCUCUGUUGAGGAGACCAGACCAGAUCCAGACCAGAGUUCAGUGCGUCCAUUCACUUACGGAGGAUGAUGAGGAUGAUGAAGAGCAGCUUGAUGAGUCAAGAGAUAAAACAGUGAACUGGAAAUUCAGUUUUUCUGAACUUUGUAUAAAAUGCUUUCCAUCUCUGAUUAGAAAAAUUUCCGUGCCUUUAAAAGUUUUGCUCUUUAUGGGUUUCCUGAAAUCAUUCACUUUUCAUUAAUCAAACUGUUAAAUAAUUUGGUUAAAUUAUAAGAUCAUUAAAUUUGUAAAUAAAAAUAAAAUAAAAUGAAAAUGUUUCA
ensembl:lncRNA